rnacentral:rRNA from 1 species
GACGAACGCUGGCGGCGUGCUUAACACAUGCAAGUCGAACGGAAAGGCCGUGCUUGUGUGGGGUGCUCGGGUGGCGAACGGGUGAGUAAGAGGUGAGUAACCUGCCCUUGACUUUGGGAGAACUUCAGGAAACUGGGGCUAAUCACGGAUAGGAGCCCCUGCUGCAUGGUGGGGGGUGGAAAGUUUCGGCGGUCGGGGUUGGAGUCGCGGCUUAUCAACUUGUUGGUGGGGUAGUGGAUGACCAAGGCUUUGACGGGUAGCCGGCCUGAGUGGGUGACCAGGCACAUUGCACCUGCGAUACGGCCCAGACUCGUACGUGGGGCAACGGUGGGCAAUGUUGCACAGUCGUCGGACGUCUGUUGCGGCAACCCCGGGUGUGGUAUGACGGUCUGCUGGUCGAGAACCGCUUUCGCUUCAUACGAAGCUGGAGUGACGGUAAUGAGUAAAGAAGCACCGGCUAACUUCGUG